UAGAACUUCUCUCAAUUUGGAUUUGUCUGAUGUUUUUCUCAUGAUUGGACUGGAAUUUUGUAUUACUGGGAGGAAGACCACAGAGGUAAAGUGCCAUCGUCAGCACAUUACACCAAGGUUCCCUGAUGACAAAUGAGGCUGAACAUCUUCUUAUGUGCUUAAUUUCCCUAUGUGUAUUUUCUUUGAUGUCCAAUUGUUGCAACACCAUUUGUCAAACACACUAUCCAGAGUCCAAUGAUGAUCUUAGUCUUCCAGCCUCCAGAACUGUGAGCAAUAAAUUUCUGUUGUCUAUCAGUCACUCAGUCUGUGGUAUUUUGUUCCACACCUUGAAUGGAUUAAGGUAAUGUACAUCCAAGUUUCUGACAUAUCAUUUUCCUCCUCCCCGAAGAACUUUUUUUAUUUCUUGCAGGGCAGGUCUGCUCGUGAUAGAUGCCCCCAGUUUUUGUUUGUCUGAGGCAGUCUUUAUUUCUACUUCAUUUUUAAAGUACAAUUCUACUGGAUAUAGAAUUCUAGAGUUUUCUCCCCAAACACUUUAAAUACUAUAUUCUCUUCCUGCUCGCAAGCUUUCUGAAGAGAAGUUAUUGAAAUUUGUACUUUUUUUCUCUAUACAUAAGGUGUUUGCUUUCAUCUGGAGUCUUCUUAGAUUUCUCUUUGUCUUUGGUUUUCUGCAAUUUGAAUACAAUCUGCCUGGGUGGGAUUUUGUUUUGUUUUGUUUGUUUUAAGCAUCCUGCUUUGUGUUCUCUGUGCUUUUUGAUCUUUGCUUUGGUGUUUGUUCUUAAUCUUGAAAAGUUCUCAGACAUUAUUACUUCAAAUAUUCUACUCUAUUCUCACUUCUUCUGAUGUUCCAAUUAUGCCUGUAUUAUAUCUUUUGAAAUAGUCCUACAGUUUCUGGAUUUCUGUUGUGUUUUCUCCCCCUUUUGUUUUCUCUCUGCAUUUUGGUUUGUGAAGUUUUUAUUGACCUUUCUUCAAGUUUGCUGAUUCUUGCCUUGGCCAUGUCUAGUCAAUAAACCCCUCAAAGGGAUUUUUCAUAUCUGUUAUAGUGUUUUUGAUUUCUAACAUUUCCUUUGGAUUUUUCUUAGAGUUUCCAUUUCUAUGCUUACGUCACCCAUCUGUUCUCGCAUAUUGUCUACUUUUUUCAUUCAACCUUAACAUAUUAAUCAUAGUUAUUUUAAAUUCCCCGCCUGAUAAUCCUAACUCAAUUAUAUCUGAGUGUGGUUCUGAUAUUUACUUUGUUUCUUCAGACUGUGGUUUUUUUCUUGCUGUUAGCAUGCUUUGAAUUUUUUGUUGAAAAUGGAACAUGCUGUAUCAGGUAAUAGGGACUGAGGUAAACAGGCGGUUAGUGUGAGGUUUUUUGCUAAUCUGCUAAGAAUCAGGCUGUAUUUAAUGUUUGCUGUAGCUGUAGGUGCCAGAGGCUUCAAAUUCUUGGAAUGUCCUUGUUUCUGUUUCCCUUUUGUCUUUGGGCUUCCUUAAGUACUGCUCCUCAGACAGCGUCUGGACCUUGAGACUCUUUCAUCUGUGACGCACUGUUAUACUGGAAUGCUGUUGGUGCCAUGGUAAGGUGUUGGGGGAGCAUUCUAUACUCUUAUGGUUAAGAUUCUGUCUUUCAGUGGGCCCAUGUCCUUGAGCUGUGAUCCGCACUGGUUUGUCUUAGCUUUUUUCCUACUCCCUUGGUGAGACAGGAAGGAUAGAGAACAGAUGCUAGAGUUUAACAAGUGUCCUUUCUCCAAGUGGGAUAAAUUUUGGUAAGAUCUUUUCACCUGGGGCAUCACCUUUGUUAUGGAUGCCACUCUGGACGUAUUUAACAAUGAUUAUUGCUCCUCUUUUCCAAACAGAGCCACCUGACUAUGAGAAGCUGGAGGGAUUCAUGGAGGUAAAAUCCACAAAAAUGUGGGGGCCUAAGACUAGAGCCCUAGGAAUUGGAAUUUAUGCUAGUCUACACUCAGCCUCCAGCAAUUUGUCAAAAUUACCAUUUAAGUGUUCCUGCCAGUUAACAGUUCCAGUGGCUUCUGCUCAAGACAUUUAACGUUGCCAUCCUUAGGACAACAGGGAUUCUUGUGGGGCAAAACACAAAUCGCCACAGGUGCCUGCUGCCCUGCCCCAUGACUUGACAUGCAGGGUUCAGAUGCCUGACUCCAACCCUCCCGUUUCUCAGGAUGCCACCCAGGUGCAGAGGAUGACAACAUUCCUUGGACAUCAUCAUAUAGAUGACUCUGGAGCCAAGAUGGGAUUACUCACGGAGAUUUUACAGAGGAGAAGAUUGAUCCCAGAACUUGGAAGAACAUUUACAUUUAAGCGAUGUCACUAAAGGUAAAGCGUUUUUGAGAGAAGCAUCAUGAAAGCCAGAGAAGCAUCAUGAAAGCAUCAUGAAAGCCAGAGAAGCAUCAUGAAAGCAUCAUGAAAGCAGAGAAGCAUCAUGAAAGCAUCAUGAAAGCCAGAAAACCAUCAUGGCUGCCAGACCACGAGACUCUUAGAGAAGACAGAGAGUGGCGACGUUUGCUGUGCUCACCCUCCUACCCACCAGCGGUGCCCAUCCUGAGCAUGUGUCUGUAUCUCUCCCCACAACCAGCUGCCCAUCUUCAACAACUGGCUGUGGCACCUUUUAGGAUUUUCCCUGUCCUACUCCAUGUUAGAUCAUGACUAUUUUGACUUCUAUUUUCAUUGUGAAGUAGGAGCUGAACUAGUUGCCUGAGACAGAUGGAAGAUGGGGCGUACUAUGGAAUUUGAGGUUUAAAAUACCAAAUCCCAAUUUUACUCUCUGAGAGAAGAGCCUCCACGGCAAAGGCUCUAAGAGAGAGAACUGCUGGCUUGUUGGAGGAGUUGCAGGGAGGUCAGGGUGGCCAGAAGGGGGUAAGGGGGGGCACAAGGUGGGCUCACAGAGGGAGCUUGGGGUUAGAUCCUGUGGAAGGGGGUUACAGUGCUCUAGGGGAGGCCUGUCUAGGGCAGUGAAGGGAGGCAGUAAGGAGAAGUCAGAUACAGGCUCUAUCUCAUCUCAAAUAAUUUGUAGAUGGACCCAUGUGAGGUCUGAGAUGAGGCCGGGAUGGUGCCGAGGACUCCAGCAUGAGUAGCUAAUUGGAUGAUGGUACCAUUACUGAGCCAGGAAAAGGUUAACAAAGUAGAUGAAUCUCUAACAAGAGUGAUCAAGAAAAAUAGAGAAGAUGCAAACACACACGAUAUAAGCAAGAGAUACAAGUAAAAUCAGUUUUUUUAAUGUUAGAAGAAAAUUUUAAGCAACCGUAAGUCAAUAUAUUACAAACUAAGGUAAGAUGAAAAAUGUUUGGAAAAGAAUAUAAAAUUGGUAAAAUAUAAAUUAAAA